AGUGGAAUUGCUGGAUGACAUGGCAAAUGUAUCUUCAACUUUAUAAGAAACUACCAAGCUUUUUUCCAAAGUGGCUAUACCAUUUUGCUUUUUCCACCAGCAAU
rnacentral:pre_miRNA from 1 species